CCUAACACAUGCAAGUCGAACGGAACUGUUUGAAAGAUUCUUCGGAAUGAAUUUGAUUUAGUUUAGUGGCGGACGGGUGAGUAACGCGUGAGUAACCUGCCUUCAAGAGGGGGAUAACAUUCUGAAAAGAAUGCUAAUACCGCAUGAUAUAUCGGAACCACAUGGUUCUGAUAUCAAAGAUUUUAUCGCUUGAAGAUGGACUCGCGUCCGAUUAGUUAGUUGGUGAGGUAACGGCUCACCAAGACCGCGAUCGGUAGCCGGACUGAGAGGUUGAACGGCCACAUUGGGACUGAGACACGGCCCAGACUCCUACGGGAGGCAGCAGUGGGGGAUAUUGCGCAAUGGGGGCAACCCUGACGCAGCAACGCCGCGUGAAGGAUGAAGGUUUUCGGAUUGUAAACUUCUUUUAUUAAGGACGAAACUUGACGGUACUUAAUGAAUAAGCUCCGGCUAACUACGUGCCAGCAGCCGCGGUAAUACGUAGGGAGCAAGCGUUGUCCGGAUUUACUGGGUGUAAAGGGUGCGUAGGCGGCUUUGCAGGUCAGAUGUGAAAUCUAUGGGCUCAACCCAUAAACUGCAUUUGAAACUGUAGAGCUUGAGUGAAGUAGAGGCAGGCGGAAUUCCCCGUGUAGCGGUGAAAUGC
rnacentral:rRNA from 1 species